CUGGUUGAUCCUGCCAGUAGUCAUAUGCUUGUCUCUAAGAUUAAGCCAUGCAUGUCUCAGUGCAAGCCAUAUUAAGGUGAAACCGCGAAAGGCUCAUUAAAUCAGUUAUGGUUCAUUGGAUGGUACACAGUUACUUGGAUAACUGUGGUAAUUCUAGAGCUAAUACAUGCGCCCAAACCCGACUUCGUGGAAGGGUUGUGUUUAUUAGAUACAGAACCAACCCAGGUUCGCCCUGGUAUUGUGGUGAUUCAUAGUAACCGAACGAAUCGCAUAGCUUCCGCUGGCGAUAAAUCAUUCAAGUUUCUGACCUAUCAGCUUCCGACGGUAGGGUAUGGGCCUACCGUGGCAAUGACGGGUAACGGAGAAUUAGGGUUUGAUUCCGGAGAGGGAGCCUGAGAAACGGCUACCACAUCUAAGGAAGGCAGCAGGCGCGCAAAUUACCCACUCCCAGAACGGGGAGGUAGUGACGAAAAAUAACGAUGCAGAACUCAUUCCGAGGCUCUGCAAUCGGAAUGAGUACACUCUAAAUCAUUUAACGAGUAUCCAUUGGAGGACAAGUCUGGUGCCAGCACCCGCGGUAAUUCCAGCUCCAAUAGCGUAUAUUUAAGUUGUUGCAGUUAAAAAGCUCGUAGUUGGACUUGUGCCGUGCUUCCGAUGUCCAUUUUCUUGGUACGUUUGGGGGCGUGGCAUCCUUGGGUGGAACCUGUGUGGCAUUAGGUUGUCGUGCAGGGGAUGCUCAUCGUUUACUGUGAAAAAAUUAGAGUGUUCAAAGCAGGCUUAUGCCGUUGAAUAUAUUAGCAUGGAAUAAUAAGAUAGGACCUUGGUACUAUUUUGUUGGUUUGCGCACCGAGGUAAUGAUUAACAGGGACAGUUGGGGGUAUUCGUAUUCCAUUGUCAGAGGUGAAAUUCUUGGAUUUAUUGAAGACUAACUACUGCGAAAGCAUUUGCCAAGGAUGUUUUCAUUGAUCAAGAACGAAAGUUAGGGGAUCGAAGACGAUCAGAUACCGUCCUAGUCUUAACCAUAAACUAUGCCAACUAGAGAUUGGAGGUCGUUACCUAUACGACUCCUUCAGCACCUUAUGAGAAAUCAAAGUCUUUGGGUUCCGGGGGGAGUAUGGUUGCAA
rnacentral:rRNA from 14 species